UUGUCUCACAAAAUUUAUUAUAUCUCAUGAUUUAAAAAUCCAUUACUUACAUUGUUUCUUCUAUGAGAAACUAGACUCAAUAAGCUUUAAUUUCAUAUUUUUUUCAUCUUCUAAUUCGAUUUAUAAAAUUUAUGGUGAUUUUUCAAAGUUAGUCUGCUGCUGCUGUCCAAUAUUGUUUUAGUGCAAGUUGUUUAUUACCAUUUUCCCUUAAGCUUUAAUAAAUAACAAUUUCGUCCCUACUCAAUUAGCCUCUUAAUUGAGCUGAUUUUUCUCAAUUAACACUUUAUU
rnacentral:lncRNA from 1 species